rnacentral:lncRNA from 1 species
AGUAAAAACCCAUAUCAGGUUUACAUGUUCCAAAAAGAAAAGAAGAAGAAGAAGAAGACCUGUACCAGGUCUAUUCAUCUCAAAAGAAAGAAAAAUCUCUAUCAGAUGAUUUUUGAUGCAUUGAAAUUCUUUUUGAUUGAUUUCUUUUUUGUCUGCUCCAGUCUCUCAGCAACAUCAGUGGUAAUGGGCUCUGCAGCUGUAGUGGACUCUGGUUCCUUGUCGACCUUGAAAACCUCAAUCUUUACUGGAGGCACCAUAGAUAUAGACUCUGCGGUG